ensembl:scaRNA
UGGCCAAAGAUGACAUGAUCACUGUGCAUCUGAGUUCUGUGAACCAGGUCAUGGAGUGUGUUCUAAAAACUGACUGGCCG